GGCGCAUAGGGUAAAAACACGGUCCGGUGAUGGUAGUCCGGACGCGGAAUUCCGCCAGUAACCAGUCUUCGGCUGUCCAUCCCUUCUCGAAAGAGG
rnacentral:ncRNA from 1 species